rnacentral:lncRNA from 1 species
GACAAACAGACCGAUGACGUUUUUUACACCUUCUCCUCUCAAGCUAUGGGUCCUGCUACGACAAACCCAGUCACCUUUAACAAAAUGUUGGCGAAUAACUCAACUUGGGCUAUAAUUGAUCGCGGUAGCCCAACUGCAUACAUACCAAUUUGGGAGAUGAUACGAGAUACUGACCCCGUCUUUGAAGAAGUAGCAGAACAUCUGGAAAACACCUGGCGCAAAGAUGAGGAAGAGAGAAUGCAU